rnacentral:rRNA from 1 species
AUUGAACGCUGGCGGCAUGCUUUACACAUGCAAGUCGAACGGCAGCGCGGGCUUCGGCCUGGCGGCGAGUGGCGAACGGGUGAGUAAUAUAUCGGAACGUACCCAAGAGUGGGGGAUAACGUAGCGAAAGUUACGCUAAUACCGCAUACGAUCUAAGGAUGAAAGCAGGGGAUCGCAAGACCUUGUGCUCCUGGAGCGGCCGAUAUCUGAUUAGCUAGUUGGUGAGGUAAAGGCUCACCAAGGCAACGAUCAGUAGCUGGUCUGAGAGGACGACCAGCCACACUGGAACUGAGACACGGUCCAGACUCCUACGGGAGGCAGCAGUGGGGAAUUUUGGGACAAUGGGGGCAACCCUGAUCCAGCAAUGCCGCGUGAGUGAAGAAGGCC